rnacentral:piRNA from 1 species
UGAACAUCCUCGGGUAAGGUCUUUU